ensembl:lncRNA neurofilament heavy polypeptide-like
AUGGAUGUGGAUCUUUCACCAGCGCCGAGUUCAGUAAAGAUGGGCAAUUUACCAUCAAACCAGGAGCCACUUCAGGCUGAGGCGAAGGACCAGAACGGAGGCCUGAACGGCCACGCGGUGGCCGUCACCGACGCCGGCACGGGCCCGCACGUUGAUAAGCACCUGUUACCCGACGGGUGUGUCCCGCUGAUCUCGGCACCAGAAACAAGCCCCGCCCUGCCAGGUAAGGACCCCGCCCUGGUACAGACCAACGGACACCAGUUGCCGGAGCAGCCGGAGAGCAGCGAGCCACGAGCCCCUCAAGACGCGGCAGCUGCCCCGAAACUGUUGGGAGAAGAGAAAGUCAACCUCUUCGGCAAAAUGUUCAAGAAGAAGCCUGACGCCCCGCCGGUCCCACCUGAGAAGGUGGAGGAUCUGGUGACACCGGCGGACCAGCAAACUAGCCCCAAGCGGGAGGACGCAGCUCCUGAUGUUGGUGCUGAGAAACAGCCUGAGCAACAGAUGAGUAAUGGUGCUGGUCCAGAUCCUGCAGAAGCUCCUGCAGAAGCAGCAGCGAAGCCGCCCCCCGAACAGAAAAAGCGGUUCAGCGGCCUCUUCAAGAAGAAGCCUGAGAGCCCACCUGCAGCAGAGCCUGGCGGACCACCAGGGGGGACUGAGACACCAGCUGCGGCCAAUGAGCAGCCACGUUCCAGUGAGGAGAAAUCCAAGCAUCCCAUCGCAGAUUCCAGUGGAAUGAGACCGUCAGAGAAGCAGGUAAAUGCUGCAGCUGUGGUUACCAAAGACGACCCUGGAUCAGCACCGAAAGAUGGAGAUGAAAAGCCAAAGCGCUUCGGAAAACUUUUCAUGAAGAAGAGUGGAAACACACCUGCAGUGGAGGUGGAGAUCUCGCCUGACCAGACGCCCGCUGUAGAUGUACACCUGCAGGCCAUGCCGGAGGAGACAGUUCCUGAGAAGGAGCCAGAGCUACAAGCAGUUUCUGCAUCGGAGAAGAAACCAUUCAGCAACCUGUUCAAGAAGUCUGAAAGCCCACCUGCAGAAAGCCCACCUGUCCAGACCAAGGCAGUAGUCGAGACACCCAGCCAACUGCCUAAACCAGAAGCUGAUGUUCAGCUGAAGGAUGCGACACUGACACCUGUAGAACCAGAGAAGAAAUCAACGUUUGGAUCGCUGUUCAAGAAGAAACCCAUCAGCCCCAUAGUGGUUGAGGUUGACAAUUUGCAAGUUCAGACUGAGUUGCUUGGGACAAAAGAUCAUCAACCUAGCCCCAAGCGGGAGGACGCAGCUCCUGAUGUUGGUGCUGAGAAACAGCCUGAGCAACAGAUGAGUAAUGGUGCUGGUCCAGAUCCUGCAGAAGCUCCUGCAGAAGCAGCAGCGAAGCCGCCCCCCGAACAGAAAAAGCGGUUCAGCGGCCUCUUCAAGAAGAAGCCUGAGAGCCCACCUGCAGCAGAGCCUGGCGGACCACCAGGGGGGACUGAGACACCAGCUGCGGCCAAUGAGCAGCCACGUUCCAGUGAGGAGAAGCAUCCCAUCGCAGAUUCCAGUGGAAUGAGACCGUCAGAGAAGCAGGUAAAUGCUGCAGCUGUGGUUACCAAAGACGACCCUGGAUCAGCACCGAAAGAUGGAGAUGAAAAGCCAAAGCGCUUCGGAAAACUUUUCAUGAAGAAGAGUGGAAACACACCUGCAGUGGAGGUGGAGAUCUCGCCUGACCAGACGCCCGCUGUAGAUGUACACCUGCAGGCCGAGCCUGGGGACAUAAAGGAGGGAACAGAGCCGCAGCAGGACCCAGACCGGGAGUCUCUGGACCUCGUCCCCGCCGCCGCCCAGCUCGCGCCGCAGCCACAGGAGCAUCCAGUUAUGAACUUCUUCAAAACGCUUGUGAGUCCGACCAGAACCCCUAAAGAGGCAGCAGCAGGUCCUGAUGGUUCCAGAGAGCAGCCCCAGAAGGAGCCGGCGGCAGCCGCGCAGUCGGCCGGACAGGAAGUAGACGCGGCGAAAGCGAAGGUGCCUCCUCCUCCUCCCCCAGAGCCUCCCAAGAUGGCGGAGCCGGCGGCAAGGAAGGAGGACGUGAAGGACACGCCCAAGCAGGCGGAGCCUGCUGCUAAACCCAAGGCUGCGAAAGAGAGCCCCUUCAACAAGAUAUUCCGCCCGAAGGUCUUGGCAGGCUGGAAGGCCUCUAAGAAACCUAAUCCUGCCCCCGGUGGAGCCACGGCGCCAUCAGCAGCAGCUAGCGCGGUCGACGCGUCCAAGACGGCGACGCUGGAGGCCGCCGCCAAACCGGAGGCCCCCGCCCUCCCCGCGCCCAGAGAAGAGGAGAAGAAGUCGGAGAAACGGGCCUCGCCCUUCGCCUCCUUCUUCAAACCCAAAGUCCUGCUGGACCAGGUGGCCUCCAGGAUGCAGGCUGUGGGCAUCAGCACUCGCAUCGGCCGCCCCGCCAAGUCGUCCGCAGCGGCCCCAGAGCAGAAAAAAGACACGCCCGUCACCGCUGCUGCCCCACCCCCAGAAGCCCCCCAGGGUGCGAGGGCCAAAGAGGAUCCCAAAAGCGCGCCCCCUGCGACCCCUCCGGUCCCCGACAGCAAGCCGGCGGAGAGCGCAGAGAACGCCUCGCCCAGCACCGCCCGCAGGGAGAAGCGGAACUCCAUCCAGCUGUUCUUCAGGAACCUGGGCCAGAAGCGGCAUUCGGACGCGGGGGUGCAGACGGAAGCCCCGGCUGCGGGCUCCACGGUGGAAAGGGGCAAAUAAACCUUCAUCUGCCCCGCUUCGCCCCUUCUCCCCUUCCCGUCGGCUCCGUGUCGCGGACGUUGGCGUGUCUGAGACGCAUGCGCACACUGGCUCCUGGGCGGGGCCAGAGGCGUGACUCUAGGGGCGUGGCAGACACGAGGCACGACAUUUUUAACGUCUAUUAACGCCUUUAUUCUCACGGCAGUCGGUCCACACAGAUCCUGAAGCAUCCUCUCAACAGUCUCUGCAAUCAUCAUCAUCAUCAUUAUUAUUAUUAUUAUUACUGUUGUUGUUUUUGUCACAUUACAAACUGCUUUUCAUUUCUUUUCAGAUCACUGUGGAUGAUUUAUUUUGUGCUGCUUAAUAAACAAUUAAAUGUAUUAAUCGCUGAUCA